GACGAACGUCUCGGCGGGCGGUGCCUAACACAGUGCAAGUCGAACGAGAAGUCGUAUGACGGAGGCUUCGGCCAACUGAUUACGAGGAAAGUGGCGGACGGGUGAGUAACGCGUGAGCAACCUGCCUUGGAGUGGGGGACAACAGAGGGAAACUUCUGCUAAUACCGCAUAAAGUGCUUUGGGGGCAUCCCCGAAGUACCAAAGCUUUAUGUGCUCUGAGAUGGGCUCGCGUCUGAUUAGCUAGUUGGUGGGGUAAUGGCCUACCAAGGCGAUGAUCAGUAGCCGGUCUGAGAGGAUGAACGGCCACAUUGGGACUGAGACACGGCCCAG
rnacentral:rRNA from 1 species